UUAUUCAGCACACUGAUAAUAGUCUCCGUCUCAAGCCCAACCGAUACCGCCGCGUAGAGCGAGUGCGGGGUAAGGUUAUAUUCAUGCAUCGACUCCGGCCGGCACACCGGCUCGGCGAUCGCGAUGAGGAAGUCAUAGGCCUGCUUGUAGAGGGGCGAGAAGGUCUCGAGAAAGAUCCGGCCGUCGGCGCAGGCCCAGAGGGGACGCUGGACGUGGUCCGGCUUCAGUUCGAGCUUGGUGAAGUCGCGCUUCUUGACGUUGAUGUCCCGAUCGCCUUCACGGUUGUCGUCGUCGAAAUCAGCGGGGUAUUCCGGAUCUUCGGCUUCGAUGAACUUGGGGGUGGCGGAUUUGUGCUUUUUGCUGGGGCGACGGUCGGCCAUCGGCGGCGAUGCGGAAGCCGCAGAGGGAUGAGAUCGUUGGGUUGGG
rnacentral:misc_RNA from 1 species